UCGGGGUGGGGGGGUCUGUUAGUUCAUCUUGACCUGGAAAAACAGCUCAAGUUUGUAGUUAAUGAUAAUAUCUACAACAGCAAUUUCAGCACAUUAGCCAGGCUAUUGACAAGGGCAAUUUUAUUACAUUAGUGUCGAUGUUAUUGACAACAGCCGUUCUAGUCAUUUGGCUGGUGGAUUAGUGUUCAGUUAGCACAGGUUUGAGGUCAGAGGGAUAAAAGAAGGAAUAGAGAAGAGGAGAGGCUGGCAGGAGCGAGAUUGGAACCAGUGUCUUAGAGGCACCGAGAGGAUUCGCCACCCAGCUCUGCUGGGGUCAGCGCCCUGGCGCCCCGCCUGGCAACACCAGUGAUGGCACGAGGAGCGGCACCCUGGGAUAUGUGAGAGCUCGCUGGCCAUCACGACCUGAGGCCUCAGCUCUUCUUCAGAACUCCACUCUUGUGACCAGAUAAGAUUCUUCCUGCAGAAGAAAAUGCCAACUAAUAGAACACCCAGGAGAGCGCAACACUUCUUGGUAGACUCCAGCUUCCAGCUCCAUGAUAAUUCUGGUUAUACCUGUGGGCGUGCCCUUCUUUCAGAAAUAAAUCCUGGGCCAAGGAUUCAGGCACAGUUGAUUCUUGAAGAUGAGCUCCUGGGAGCAAGGGCUUUGCUGGGAAUGGACUGGUUAAUCCACAUUCCUCAGUGCCUUCCCUCCCCACUUCUUCACUUCCUGACUCUGGACUCAGCCAUCAGCUUACUUUGAGGAUGCUUGCUCUUGUGCCUCUGCUGUCGCAAUGAAAAACGCCCAGGCUGGCCUGCUGGACAA